GUGCUCACUUUUGCAACGCAUACAGUAAAACUGGGAAGAUACAAAGAAGAUUGGCAUGGCCCCUGCACAAGGAUGACACAUAAAUUCAUGAAAUGUUCCAUAUUUUU
ensembl:snRNA U6 U6 spliceosomal RNA